rnacentral:tRNA from 1 species
GCGCUCUAUGAAGGCGGCUAACUGCCCUCCGAAGGCAGGGGUUGCUGGUUCGAUCCCAGCCGGGCGCGCCA